GGAUUGUAGGAAACUAUAGUGGUAGGGGAGCGUUGUAUACGAGCAGAAGCCGUACCGUGAGGAGCGGUGGAUUGUAUAGAAGUGAGAAUGCCGGUGUGAGUAGCGAGAUGUAGGUGAGAAUCCUACACACCGAAAGCCCAAGGAUUCCAGGGGAAGGUUCGUCCGCCCUGGGUAAGUCGGGACCUAACGCGAGGCCGAAAGGCGUAGUGGAUGGAAAGCAGGCGAAAGAUUCCUGCACCCGUAUAUGGAGCGAAGGAGUGACGGAGACGGAUAGUGUGACCCUCUUAAUGGAUUGAGGGCGAAGCGAAGCGGCUGGUUACCAGGCAAAUCCGGUAACCAUAAGGCUAGAUCGUGACAGGUAAGCGAAAUCUUAGGAAAGUAGCGAAGCACAUGAUGACGGCUUCCAGGAAAAGCUUCUGGCAAUGCAUAUGCGGCCCGUACCAAAACCGACACAGGUGGGCAGGGAGAGAAUCCCGAGGUGAGCGAGAGAACUGUUGCCAAGGAACUCGGCAAAAUGACUCCGUAAGUUAGCGAGAAGGAGUGCUUAAGCAAUUAAGCCGCAGUGAAGAGGCCCAAGCGACUGUUUAACUAAAACACAGCUCUCUGCGAAGUCGCAAGACGAAGUAUAGGGGGUGACACCUGCCCGGUGCUGGAAGGUUAAGAGGAUCUGUUAAGAGCGAUCUGAAGCAGUGAUCCGAAGCCCCAGUGAACGGCGGCCGUAACUAUAACGGUCCUAAGGUAGCGAAAUUCCUUGUCAGGUAAGUUCUGACCCGCACGAAAGGUGUAACGAUUUGGGCGCUGUCUCGGCAGCAGACUCGGUGAAAUCUUAGUACCUGUGAAAAUGCAGGUUACCCGCAACUAGACGGAAAGACCCCAUGGAGCUUUACUGCAGCCUGAUAUUGAAUUCUGGUCAUACAUGUACAGGGUAGGUGGGAGACAAAGAGACGUGCACGCCAGUGUACGAGGAGUCGACGUUGGGAUACCACUCUUGUGUGACUGGGGUUCUAACCUGGUAUCGAGAACAGGUACGGGGAGAGUGUCAGGUGGGCAGUUUGACUGGGGCGGUCGCCUCCCAAAGAGUAACGGAGGCGCCCAAAGGUACGCUCAGAUUGGAUGGAAACCAAUCGUCGAGUCAAUUGCAGAAGCGUGCUUGACUGUGAGACAGACAAGUCGAACAGGGACGAGAGUCGGGAAUAGUGAUCCGGCGGUGCCGAAUGGAAGGGCCGUCGCUCAACGGAUAAAAGCUACCCUGGGGAUAACAGGCUGAUCUCGCCCAAGAGUUCACAUCGACGGCGAGGUUUGGCACCUUGAUGUCGGCUCAUCGCAUCCUGGAGCUGGAUUCGGUUCCAAGGGUUGGGCUGUCCGCCCAUUAAAGCGGUACGCGAGCUGGGUUCAGAACGUCGUGAGACAGUUCGGUCCCUAUCUGUUGUGGGCGAAGGAGAUCUGCGGAGAGCUGUCCUCAGUACGAGAGGACCGGGAUGGACCUACCGCUGGUGCACCGGUUGUUCCGCCAGGGGCAUAGCCGGGUAGCUAAGUAGGGAAAGGAUAAGCGCUGAAAGCAUCUAAGCACGAAGCCUACUCCAAGAUGAGAUCUCCCAUUCGCAAGAAGUAAGACCCCUUAAAGACGAUAAGGUAGAUAGGCCAGGGAUGGAAGUGCGGUGAUGUACGGAGUUGACUGGUACUAAUCGGUCGAGGACUUAAAC
rnacentral:rRNA from 1 species